GGGGGUGUGGUGUACGGUGCACCGCUGCUAUCAAUGAAUACGGGGGAAAGAAUCCAAUCUUAACAAGCAGCAAGCCGGGGUUCGACUCCCCGCGUCCCCG